rnacentral:rRNA from 1 species
UACAGAGGUCUCAAGUGUUGUUCGGAUUUAUUGGGCGUAAAGGGUGCGUAGGCGGCGAGGUAAGUCUGGUGUGAAAUCCUGGGGCUCAACCCCAGAAUUGCACUGGAUACUGCUUUGCUAGAGGACUGGAGAGGAGAUUGGAAUUCACGGUGUAGCAGUGAAAUGCGUAGAUAUCGUGAGGAAGACCAGUGGCGAAGGCGAAUCUCUGGACAGUUCCUGACGCUGAGGCACGAAGGCUAGGGGAGCAAACGGG